rnacentral:rRNA from 1 species
GGACCGCAAAGCACUUUAAGAUGGGAGGAAGGGUUGUAGAUUAAUACUCUGCAAUUUUGACGUUACCGACAGAAUAAGCACCGGCUAACUCUGUGCCAGCAGCCGCGGUAAUACGC